rnacentral:rRNA from 1 species
UACAUAGGGUGCAAGCGUUGUCCGGAUUUAUUGGGCGUAAAGAGCUCGUAGGCGGUUCGUUACGUCGGAUGUGAAAGUCUGGGGCUCAACCCCAGACCUGCAUUCGAUACGGGCGAACUAGAGUGUGGUAGGGGAGACUGGAAUUCCUGGUGUAGCGGUGGAAUGCGCAGAUAUGAGGAGGAACACCAAUGGAGAAGGCAGGUCUCUGGGCCAUUACUGACACUGAGGAGCGAGAGCGUGGGGAGCGAACAGG